rnacentral:lncRNA from 1 species
CGCGUGCCUGCCCGUCAUCGGUGUAUCUUCAGAAAAACGCCUGCCUGUGUUCCCUCCUCUUACUCAUUGAACAGGAUCUAUUGCAUUGCUCGAUUUCACAUACUGAACCAACUGGCCUUCUUUCUCUCCUGGACCCAGGCUGAGCAUUGUGGGUCUUCCUGGAUGAGAGACAGAGGCUCUGCAGGGUCGUGCGAUGGGAAGUAAUCGCGCUGGUGUCAAGGUGCCACAUGCUGCCUCACCGGAAGCUGAGCCCACAGGACACCUAGAACAGUCUCGUUCCUGCCACUGAUCACCCCUGGGCUUUUAGUACCGAAACUUCAAAGAACUUACGCAUCUCUUAUUUCACUUUCUAGCAAUAUUUAUACAGAAACAUUUUGUAUUUAUGUCCCCAAAAAUCAAUAAAAGGCUUUUAACAAAACAGCAUAUGGGGAAAGUCUUGAGUCGCACUGCAGGAACAUGAGUAAACGGCUGUGAUAACAUGAGGGUGUUUUGCAAAGUUUGAGGCUCAGCAAAGAGGUGUGUGCAGCCAGGGCGGGGCUGGGGUGCAGGGGGACUUGCAUCCUCCUCGCUCAACCCUGUGUGCAGGAAGCCAUGUGCAUCAAACGGUACAUUCACUUUUAUUUUUUUUUAGAUGAAGUCUUACUCUGUUGCUCAGGCUGGAGUGCAGUGGCAUGAUCUCUGCUCACAGCAAUCUUCGC